UUUCCGUAGGUGAACCUGCGGAGGGAUCAUUACUGAGUGAUGGCCCCCUACGUACAACCUCCCACCCGUGUUUAUUCCACCUUUUUGCUUCGGUGAGCCCGCCUCACGGCCGCCGGGGGGCAGCUGCCCCCGGGCCCGCGCCCGCCGAAGACACCCUUUAACUCUAUCUGCAGUUCGUAGUCUGUGCCAAAAAUAAACAAGUUAAAACUUUCAACAACGGAUCUCUUGGUUCUG
rnacentral:misc_RNA from 1 species